GAACACUGGAAAAUUUGAAAAUGUAUGGUUUUACAACUGUAACGUGUAUGCCAAAACUGAAACUAGUAGCAGAAUAAGAUUUGACCUGUUUGACAAUGUAGAUGAAAAAAUGAAAAAGAAAUUGAAAGAGGGAACUUAAUCAAUCUUGUUUUGUCAGUUACAUCAUUUAAUUUAUUUUUGAAUAAUGUCCAGCUUUUUAUACGACCGCAAAAAAAUUUUGUGGUCGUAUAUUGGUAUGACGUUGGCGUCGUCGUCGUCGUCGUCGUCGUCGUCGUCGUCGUCGUCGUCGUCGUCGUCCGGCGUCCGGCGUCGUCGUCCGAAUACAUAUUGGUUUUCGCACUCUAACUUUAGUUUAAGUGAAUGGAUCUUUUUGAAAUUUGACCAUAAGGUUAAAUACCACAAAAGGAAGGUUGGGAUUGAUUUUGGGGGUUAUGGUACCAACAGUUAAGGAAUUAGGGGCCAAAAAGGGGCCAAAAAUGAGCAUUUUCUAGUUUCCAGACAAUAACUGUGGAACGGUGUAUGGAUCUCUCUGAAAUUAUACUACAAGUUUCCAUACCACAAAGGGAUGGUUAGGAUUUGCUUUGGGGGGUUAUGGCUCAAACCGUUUAGGAAUUAGGGGCAAAAAAGGGGGAAAAACAAGGUUGUCCUGGUUAAUGGACAAAUACUUUAGUACAAAACAUAAUUUAAAGCAGUGUAAGGGAGAUAAAUCAAAUACAUCAUUGAAAUUAUCUCCCUUACACUGCUUUUAAAUUAUGUAUUAAGUAAUGGUUAAUGAACAAUAAAGAUAAUCUAAAACAGUGUAAGGGAGGUAAUCCAAAUACAACGUUUUGGUUACUUCCCUUACACUGCUUUUAAAUUAUGUUUAAAGAAAUGCAUAUUUAUAAAGGAAGACCAGUAAAAAUAUCUGCAAAUGUUUUCAUCUUUUUUUUUUUACAAAAAAAUCCAUAUGAAAGAUUUGACACUAUAUUUUUAUUAAUUCUAUUAUAAAAUAGAUUAAGUUAGCACUAUGGUAAAUUUAAAUGGGUAAUUAUGGUUGCCAACUCCAUUGGAAAUUUGAAUUGAGAUUAUGACCAUAUCUUGAGGGAAAGAAUUUUUUUUGGGGAAAAGGGGGGGGGGAUAAAAAGAAAUUGUGGGGGGCCAAUUUUUUCUCAUUUCAGAUUUCAGAAAUUAAAAAGAAUUAUUCUUCAAAUAUUAUUUUUUUUUCAAAUUUCAAAUAUUGAAAAAUUUCAAGAAGUAAUCUUUAAUUGCACAGUAUGGCGCAUUAGAUUUGUAAAAUCUUUGAUCACAUUUAUUUAUUUGUUAUGCCGAAUCUAACAGUGUAUUUAGAUUUUUAAUUUUGGGUCCAGUUUUCAAAUUGGUCUACAUUAAUGUCCAAAGGGUCCAAAAUUAAACUUUGUUUGAUUUUAGCAAAAAUUGAAUAUAUGAGGUUCUUUGAUAUGCUGAAUCUAAACAUGUAUUUAGAUUUUUGAUUUUUGGCCCAGUUUUCAAGUUGGUCCAAAUUGGGGUCCAAAAUUAAACUUUGUUUGAUUUCAACAAAAAUUGAAUAUAUUGGGUUCUUUGAUAUGCUGAAUCUAACCAUGUAUUUAGAUUUUUUAUUUGUGGACCCCGUUAUCUAAUUGGUUCAUAUUGAGGUCAAAAGGGUCCAAAAUUAAACUUUGUUUGAUUUCAUCUAAAAUUGAAUUAUUGGGGUUCUUUGAUAUUCCAAAUCUAACCGUGUAUUUAGGUUUUUUAUUUUGGGUCCUGUUUUUUAAAUUGGUCUACAUUGAGGUCCAAAGGGUCCAAAAUUAAACUUAGUUUGAUUUUAACAAAAAUUGAAUUCUUGGGGUUCUUUGAUAUGCUGAAUCUAAACAUGUGUUUAGAUUUUUGAUUAUGGGCCCAGUUUUCAAGUUGGUCUAAGUUGGGGUCCAAAAUUAAACUUUUUUUGAUUUCAACAAAAAUUGAAUAUAUGGGGUUCUUUGAUAUGCUGAAUCUAACCAUGAAUUUAGAUUUUUUAUUUGUGGGCCCAGCUAUCAAAUUGGUUCAUAUUGAGGUCAAAAGGGUCCAAAAUUAAACUUUGUUUGAUUUCAUCAAAAAUUGAAUUAUCGGGGUUCUUUGAUAUUCCAAAUCUAACCGUGUAUUUAGAUUUUUAAUUUUAAGUCCCGUUUUUUAAAUUGGUCUACAUUAAGGUCCAAAGGGUCCAAAAUUAAACUUAGUUUGAUUUUAGCAAAAAUUGAAUUCUUGGGGUUCUUUGAUAUGCUGAAUCUAAACAUGUGUUUAGAUUUUUGAUUAUGGGCCCAGUUUUCAAGUUUGUCCAAGUUGGGGUCCAAAAUUAAACUUUGUUUGAUUUUAACAAAAAUUGAAUAUAUGGGGUUCUUUGAUAUGCUGAAUCUAACCAUGUAUUUUGAUUUUGGACAUUGGACCAUAAUAGGUAAAUUAAAAAAAUUGAAGUUCUUAGACCACAUUCUUUCUGUGUCAGAAACCUAUGCUGUGUCAAAUAUUUAAUCACAAUCCAAAUUCAGAGCUGUAUCAAGCUUGAAUUUUGUGUCCAUACUUGCCCCAACUGUUCAGGGUUCGACCUCUGCGGUCGUAUCAAGCUGCGCCCAGCGAAGCAUUUUAUUA